rnacentral:misc_RNA from 1 species
CGUGUAAUAGCCAGUGCAAAUUAAACAUCACCGGGAUAUAUAUACCACGGAGGUUUAAUAGUAUAUAUUGACUGGCCAAACGAAACCCCUAUUACAAAUUAUAUUAUGAAAGCGGUUGGAAUUUUUGUGUAGAAAUCUGCAGACGAAUACAGAUUAGAUUUCAGGAAAAGGAUAGUUACACAUAUGUAGAAGAUAAUCAGACCAAUGUAGAAGCAGCUUGUUGUGAUGGUUAGACUGACAAACAGAUACUAAAGCUGGCUACCUCGUGGAUUUCAUUGUUUUUGAAGUGGAAGAAGUGAAAAUAGAUAAAACUUUUUUUCUUAUUUUCGCAAUGAAUCAACUCGACCUGCAGGCAAAAAGGUCGAAGAAAAGGUUAAUCUGCAUUCCUCUCGGAUUACUUUUGGUUCUUACAAUUUGCCUGAUUCUACAUAUGGGAUAUAUCCGUGCACCUGCACCCCCUUUAAGGCUGCCUGUAAUAUAUGCAAAUGCCAAUAUAGAUGAUGUACAAAGGCAGCUGAAUGAACUAUUACGAGAAUACAAGCCCUUUCAAAGAUGCAAAGACAGUUUGUUAGCAGCUGAUCCAAGGCGUUCUAAAAUUGAACUGAAGGGUGAUCACGUUGUUAACCUCACAGAAACUGUUCGUCUUAGCGUUAUUCUUUACGAUGGGUAUGGCAGACCAAAAACGACUGGUGGAGAUCACCUGCGUGCCAGGUUGUAUAAUAACUCUGUUGACGCUUCAGUACCUGGACACGUUUUAGAUCACAGAAAUGGUACCUAUACUGUAACUAUCGAAGCAUUGUGGACUGGUUGGGCGGCAGUGGAGGUAGAGGUGUUGUUUCCUAGAGAAAUAAUAGCAGCUGGAUUGCGAAUAAGGACAGCAUGGAAUUUCUCUGACCUGAGGGCAAAUUUUCGUAAUAAAAACUCUUCUGGAGCGUCGCUGUGUAAUCCAGAUUUUCAAGUUUUGGAAAGACUAUAUGGAAAAUCUGCCGUUUGCAACUUCUCAUAUUGGAAUAAAACACUACCAUGGUUUUGUGGAAAACCACAUGUUCGACAUUUAUCAUGUAAACAUUGGGUUUCAAUUUCACGUUCCUGGCACAACUUCACGGAAGGCAUCAGCAAAUGCGAAAAGGAGUUAAGCGAAAGAGCAUAUAACACAAUACCAAAGAAAGUAUUAAUAAAAAUACUGCCAACACGCUCAGCAAAAAGUCAAGUCACAGUGGAACAGCCACAUAUUACUUGUAUGGAUUACAACACAACACAACUGUGGUACAAAUCAAAGCCUACGGGUUAUUUUUACAAAGGGAAUUGGAUACUUCGGCAUUGCAAAGGUCUUUCUGGUAUCGAUGGAAAAUGCCUAGGUGAUAAAACUAUCUACUUUUGGGGAGACUCAACACUACUUCAAUGGCAUAAUUAUUUGCUGUCAAAGUUGACAUUCAGCUGUAAGAUUGUACAAAACGAUAUACAUACAUGGAGAAGAACAACGACAUGCUUUUGCAGUAAAUACAAUAUAACAUUGAACUGGAUGCCACAUAAUAUUCCCGUCUCACCUUUUCGGGUUAAAAAUCCUAUUCCCUUUUUUUCAAACACGUUUGGUGACACAGUCAGCAAUGUUAAAAAAGGUAGUGAUGUUAUCUUAAUAGUCAAUUUAUAUGCACAUAUACAAAUGUACCCACUUAAAUAUUUUGCAGUUCAUAUCGUAGAAAUUAGAAAAAUGAUAGAAACUAUUUUUGAAAAAGUUUAUAACGUACGGGUGUUUAUAAAGUUACCUCACACCUUUCGUGAAAUACGUCAUAAGAAAUGGAAGAUAGUACAGCCCAGUUAUAUUGGCAUUAUUUACACAGAUAUUAUGCGAAAUGUGUUUAAAGGACUAUAUCAAAAAGUAAUUGUAUUAGACAAUAAGGAUGCAACAAUUGCUAUAGGAGUGUCACGCUUACAUCCUGCCCCAAAGGUUGUGAAAGCAAUGAUAAACCAGCUCCUAAGUUAUAUUUGUAACGAGCAAAAAUAGGAGUUUCAAGGAGAACACUUUUAUCAUUGUCUUGUUUAGACAUGUUUACCAAAUAUCGACCCUAUAUCGUUAUCUUCUGUGCAUUUCAUCGGCAUACCUAAUACUUGACAAUUUUGGUGAAGAAGGUGUGUGAAUGUGUGGGUCUGCAGCAUGUCAAUAUGAAUAUAACACCACAAUUCUGAACAAAUUAUUUCCAAACAGGUAAUUUUAUACAGUUUCCAUAAGGUUGAUUUAAAACUUAUGACAUUUAUCUAUUUUACAUAGUCAUUAAGAAGUUUAGUUAGUCUUAUGGCACAUUUCAACAUCUGUUAGCGAUUUUUUUUAUACUUGGAGCUGAAAGGUGAAGGCAUGUAAGAAAUCAAAAGGGGAGGUAAUUAAAAAAAAAUAAAGUAAUUCAUUACAUCUCAUGAAUUGAUUUAAUCAAACCGAGUCUGCUCUUACUUUUCUCAGUUGCAUUCUAUGCUUCGAAAGGAUCUUUUUAUAGAUCUUAUCAUUUGUCAUUUCUUUGUACAAAUUUGUGAAAGUUUUAAAGAUUCAUAGAUGUCAUUUCAAUCAAUAUCAUUUGAAUUGUCUUAAAAUUCAAUUAUCUUUUUCAAAAAUGUAAAACAUAAGAUUCUACAACAGCAAUAGAAAAUAAAGGGUUAGGGGGUAUAGGGGUGUAAUAUAAACAUUAUCCAACAAAAAUAGUCAAAAGACCUGCAGAUAUCUCCAAUUAUUUAUUACUAUCAAAUAACCUCAGUAUUCGGAAUGGAUACUCUCUUUCACAUAGCCUUACUCGUAAGGAUUAUCAGUAUGGCUUAUUUUAUGAUCUGAUAUUCUAUAGUUGCCAACCCUUUCAGCAUUUGCCGAAUCUGCAUUUUACUAUUAGGAAAGUUUUUUUUUUUUUUAUAAAAUACCGCUUUAAUAGAUGAAACCUUAAUAUAAAUAAACAACUAAGCUGAAUUUAAAUAAGGGACAUUAAAUGCUUGAUGUUUAAAACUUAUUUUAUCACGUUAUGACCAUUACUCAAUGAAUGAUCCUGUUUACAGUUCUUCUUCUUUUUUAUAAAAAAAAAAUUCUGAAGCUAAAAUAUGGAUAGACAGAGAGUAAAACUGGAAGACUGGUUUUCAAUACUUUAUUUGUAAUAAGAUAUAUCGUUACAUAUGGUACUCUGUUUCUCGCACAAGGAGUUCCAUUCAAAUACUCACAAGGGUAAUAUAUUUUGCAGAUCUGUCUAUGAAAUAAGCUUAGGUCUUUCACAAAAGUCGACAUUUUAAGUGCCGUGUGGCGGUCGUCAAAUGUCUCCGGAUACUUUGAUUCAGUGUGCCCCAUGUUGUUCUGGGACAAUCUGUGUAUGAAAAGAAUUAGAACCACUGCCUUACCUCUUGCAUGAUCGUAAGAGGCGACUAAUAGGGUCUUGACACUUGGUUUUGCUGUAACUCUGUGAUUCCAGCAGGUAUG